rnacentral:rRNA from 1 species
UGCAUGCCUCCGAAUAGAAGAGCAUCUCUCUGAAUCUGCGAACGGCUCCGCAAACCAGUUGUAAACUAUAGCAAGCAUGCCCUGGUGCCGGUCGCAAGGCUGGUGCUGGGGUAAUAAGGAUAACCCUGGUAAUUCUGAGGCUAAUACAAGAACGUACCACCUGGCUAACCGGGUAACUGGAAGGCUGGGGGACGUGUGAUUAGGCGCAAAGAUAGCUACGAAUAGGUGCACGUUCAGACCACCAUACCAAACAGUCUUGGCCCCGACCUCACGGAACGGGUCUUGUCUGGGUGGCUCUUGCUGUGUGCUUCUGACCUAUCAACUAGAUGGCAGCGUAAUGGACAUGCUAUGGUGACAACGGGUACAGAGGAUAAGGGUUCGAUCCUGGAGAGUGGGCCUGAGAGAUUGCUCACACUUCUAAGGAAGGCAGCAGGCGCGCAACGUUCCCCUUGGGCAAUGCUCGAGGGCGUUAGGGGACAUAUGAAUGCCUGCCUUUUGGUGGGCAAUUCAAAUGGGUUUGUUGUAAACAGCCCU